rnacentral:rRNA from 1 species
UGGGGAAUCUUCCGCAAUGGGCGAAAGCCUGACGGAGCAAUGCCGCGUGAGUGAAGAAGGCCUUCGGGUUGUAAAACUCUGUCCUUAUCGAAGAGAGGUGGGUAUGUGAAUAAUGUACUCAUAGGACGGUAGAUAAGGAGGAAGCCCCGGCUAACUACGUGCCAGCAGCCGCGGUAAUACGUAGGGGGCGAGCGUUGUCCGGAAUCACUGGGCGUAAAGGGCGCGUAGGCGGUUUAAUAAGUCAGUGGUGAAAACUGAGGGCUCAACCCUCAGCCUGCCACUGAUACUGUUAGACUUGAGUAUGGAAGAGGAGAAUGGAAUUCCUAGUGUAGCGGUGAAAUGCGUAGAUAUUAGGAGGAACACCAGUGGCGAAGGCGAUUCUCUGGGCCAAGACUGACGCUGAGGCGCGAAAGCGUGGGGAGCAAAGCAGGAUUAGAUACC